UAAGGAAUAUUGGUCAAUGGUGGGAACACUGAACCAGCCAUUCCGCGUGAAGGAUGAAUGCCCUCUGGGUUGUAAACUUCUUUAGUCUGGGACGAAAAAGCUUCAUUUAUGAAGAACUGACGGUACCAGAAGAAUAAGCACCGGCUAACUCCGUGCCAGCAGCCGCGGUAAUACGGAGGGUGCAAGCGUUAUCCGGAAUCACUGGGUUUAAAGGGUGCGUAGGCGGCGUUAUAAGUCAGGAGUGAAAUUCCACGGCUCAACUGUAGGAACUGCUUUUGAUACUGUAAUGCUUGAACCAAGAUGAGGUAGGCGGAAUGUGACAUGUAGCGGUGAAAUGCAUAGAUAUGUCAUAGAACACCAAUUGCGAAGGCAGCUUACUAGACUUGAGUUGACGCUGAGGCACGAAAGCGUGGGGAGCAAACAGG
rnacentral:rRNA from 1 species